CGUGUAGGCGGCUUGGUAAGUCGGAUGUGAAAGUCCCGGGCUCAACCCGGGAAGUGCAUUCGAAACUGCUAGGCUUGAGUAAGAGAGAGGAAAGUGGAAUUCCUGGUGUAGAGGUGAAAUUCGUAGAUAUCAGGAGGAACACCGGUGGCGAAGGCGACUUUCUGGCUCUAUACUGACGCUGAGGUGCGAAGGCGUGGGUAGCAAACAGGAUUAGAUACCCUGGUAGUCC
rnacentral:rRNA from 1 species